ACGAACGCUGGCGGCGUGCUUAACACCUGCAAGUCGAACGGAAAGGCCCUGCUUUUGUGGGGUGCUCGAGUGGCGAACGGGUGAGUAACACGUGAGUAACCUGCCCUUGACUUUGGGAUAACUUCAGGAAACUGGAGCUAAUACCGGAUAGGAGCUCCUGCUGCAUGGUGGGGGUUGGAAAGUUUCGGCGGUUGGGGAUGGACUCGCGGCUUAUCAGCUUGUUGGUGGGGUAGUGGCUUACCAAGGCUUUGACGGGUAGCCGGCCUGAGAGGGUGACCGGCCACAUUGGGACUGAGAUACGGCCCAGACUCCUACGGGAGGCAGCAGUGGGGAAUAUUGCACAAUGGGCGGAAGCCUGAUGCAGCAACGCCGCGUGCGGGAUGACGGCCUUCGGGUUGUAAACCGCUUUCGCCUGUGACGAAGCGUGAGUGACGGUAAUGGGUAAAGAAGCACCGGCUAACUACGUG
rnacentral:rRNA from 1 species